GCAGAGCACUCCUAGGGAGGCAGCAGUGGGGAAUAUUGCACAAUGGGCGCAAGCCUGAUGCAGCCAUGCCGCGUGUAUGAAGAAGGCCUUCGGGUUGUAAAGUACUUUCAGCAGUGAGGAAGGUGGAUAUGUUAAUAGCAUAUUCAUUUGACGUUAGCUGCAGAAGAAGCACCGGCUAACUCCGUGCCAGCAGCCGCGGUAAUACGGAGGGUGCGAGCGUUAAUCGGAAUUACUGGGCGUAAAGCGCAUGCAGGUGGUUUGUUAAGUCAGAUGUGAAAAGCCCGGGGCUCAACCUCGGAAUUGCAUUUGAAACUGGCAAACUAGAGUACUGUAGAGGGGGUAGAAUUUCAGGUGUAGCGGUGAAAAUGCGUAGAGAUCUGAAGGAAUACCGGUGGCGAAGGCGGCCCCCUGGACAGAUACUGACACUCAGAUGCGAAAGCGUGGGGAGCAAACAGGAUUAGAUACCCUGGUAG
rnacentral:rRNA from 1 species